GAAUUCAGCACAUAUGAGCUGGAAGUUUGAGUAAUGCAUAAAGCAGUGCAGCACUCAGACCUGCUGCACUCUCCGGGGCCAGCCUGGAAAGGAGAUCACCAAUCACUGCAGCUCAUAGCUCACAUUUCUUAGAGGCUCUCCCUGAGGUUGAGAAGCAGCGGGAUUUGGCAAGGACAGCGACCCACAGCAGUUGGAGCCCCUGCCACCCACACCCAGGACGGCACUGGUUGCAGCAGUCACAUAGAUAAGCCAGUAUUUGCAAAGGACCCACUCUGGCCAUGACUGCAAGCGGUAUGGUGUGUGCUAAACUCUUCCCUGUGCCCAGCCUAGGAUGCAAGCUUUGCUUCUUCCACAGAGCAGCAUUAGAAAAGCAGCUCCUCUGUAAGCUGCUGAGCUGCCCUCACCCACCUGAGCACCUUCAGCAGCUGUGGGACACAGUGGGCAUGUUUCAAGUUCAGAAGGAAAGUGGAAUCAUUAAAGGAGAUGGCUUCUCCUUCGUGUCCCCUUUAGUUUACAUGGUCCUCUGAGCAGAGACUGGAGCCACGUGGUUGCCGCACCAGCUAUGAAUGUGGCUCAGUCCCACGUGAAACAUCUGAGCGUACAGAAACAAGGACUGCCUGCAGGAAUUCCUUAAAUCCUUAAAGAAAUAUGCAGCCCCCUAGACAGGAUGAAAGAGUUUGUAGAUAUUUGUCUAUCAAGCAGAGCACUGAGAGCGUAUAUUUGUUUUGGCACACUUUAUGGGACUGUAUUUUGAAUAUGUUUUUCUAUUGUGCUGGAUAAUUAUGAAGCCUAUAAAAAAAACCACCCAAUUCCAAGAGCCAUUUCAACUCAGUUGAGAUGUAAGAAACUAUUCCCACAGCUUUUUCUACAGUCCUUCUGGAGUCUCCUCUCCACUGUUUAAUGAUGUGAACAGACCAAUGGCCAAAACAUAUACAUUUCUCCACUUCCCUGGAAACCUAGGAAAUAUAUUGAUAUUAUUUCCAGGCCAUUUAGUUUCAUAUGGAGAACCCCAGGCAUUUGAAAUAUGUUCACGCAGAAAAUAAUUCAUUCCUUUGGCAUAAGUUUCUUUUCAUACACAUUUUCCUUCAUUAGAAGCAAACUACUAUUUAACACCCUUUUCACUUCACCUCAUGCUCUAGGAAAAUAUACCCCAUAACUAUUUCUUCCUGCAUUUCAGAGCAACAAUAAAACCAGCGAGCCCUUAAGUACAAAACUUACAGUCGUUACUCAUUUAACACGAUGACCGAUUUUAAUGCAGGAUUUUGCUUACACGAACUCCUGGCUCCCUUUUGUACUGCAAAGUGUUUAUUUUUAUACUGUUCCACAAACACAGGGACUCUGGCAAUAAAACAUUUGUGAUUAAAUUAUUUCUUACCUAGCCA